GAAGCCGUCGGCGGAUCGGCUCGUGGAGCGCUGGACUGACCUCCCUAGGCUUCCGGGGCGCCCCAGCGUGGACCAUGCUGCAAGCUUCCGGCCGGCGGGGGGACGUUUUACUGCGGAACACCCCUCAUCUAGACGGGGCGAUCUAAAUUGGGUGCCCACCAUCACACCGUCCGCGCAUACAGAGACAACCCAACCGACAACGUGGCAAGUAUGUUCCCACGGACGUCGGCAACCUAGCGUGUCACGGACGUUUGUAUCUGCACCUCCACGUAAACACGAAUCCAGAUUUGCAUGUGGCUGGACGGGACGAUUAGCUACUGGAGUUACCCCCACCCAGGCUCUCUGAAGACGUAAACUUGGUAUCAAGAGAUUGAAGAGAAAAUGUGGUUGCCACCAAGAUUCUUUCCUAUGAACAUGCCCGUGUUUAUAUCAUUUGUUGGAAUCAGCAGUCAGGAUGAGAGAAGCCUCCAAUUUCAAUUCUUGCCAAAUAAUAACCGCCAUACAACAACUGCCAUCACCACCCUAAAAACUCCACAAUAGCAAGAUUAACCAAAAAUAUCCCCAAACUUCUGGACACUGUGACAAUGACACAUGGCAGCUUUGCUUCCUUUUUGAGCAUUGUAGGAGCUUGUUAAGUACUGUUUUUAUGCUAUUAUGUAACUUGGAGCAGAUGAGCAUGAGUCAGGAAUUGUCCUGCCUACCUGGGUGACCAGCUACCUGACCCUAGGCAUGGCACUUACAUAAAGCCCAAAUAUGUAACUCUCAAAGCCACAAGGAAGCAGUUUUUGUCAAAGCAGAUGAGUCAAGUUUCAGCUUGUGCUCUGGUGAGAACCUUGAGAUGGAAGGGGGGUUGCGGGGGGGGUAACAUCAGAGACUCAAGCCAGAGACAGAAAAUAUCCUGGAAACACAAUCUUCUGUUACUUCGACAUUAAGUAACUUGCUGUCUGGAGACCUUCUGGUCAAUUACCUGACCAACUGCCCUUGGCCUGGCUUGUAUAUAAAAGCACUUUGAAAAAACAUGGUGCUAUAAAAUAUUAGACAGGUCACUUAAAAAAGGAACCUUGUAUCACAUUCUUGCUCAGAGAGCUCAGGCAAUUAGCGUAAAGUCCUUCUUGCUCAAAUUAUGUUCAUGACCUUCUGAAAACUGUGUCUGAAAAGGCAACCUCUUUAGUAAAUAAAAUAGUCAGCUUUUUAUUUGAAAAUGACGUUUUGUGACACCUAAUUUUUCUAACCUUCCUUUUUUGAACCACCUAGGAAACUCCUGGUAAUGAAGUCUGUUUUCCCCGUAAAAUUAAGCAAGAGACUAAAUUUGAUUUGUUGCCUUUGGCAAAUGACUAUGGGCAGAUCAAAAUUUUGCUCAGUAAAGAAAUGGCCUCAUAUCAGCCAACCUUGAAGCCAGUUGGCAGAGAGCCUGGGAAAUGUUUCCAGGGAUCAGUCCUGGAAGACAGAGCAGAGCAGGGGAAGGGAAGAGAAAGGACCUCCAAGCAAGCGGGGAAAUAACCAGAUAACCAGUACAGUGAAUUUCACCAAGGAAUCAUGUUGUUCAACUUCUUGCAAAUUGAAUCUUGAUAAAUAGAAGUCAAUCCACGUUGUCAUGGAGGAGGAGCAUGUGAUCUGGAGCUGAGGACCAGGAGCCUGGGAGUGUUGUCACUCACUUUCUUGGGAUCUCAGAUGAUACCAUUGCUGUCUCAUUUAUAUAUCCUGUUACAUCUGUUCCUUCCACUGGACCUUAUGCAGAUGAAUGAAUGAGUGAAUGAGCUGCCCUAAAGCUGAGUCCUGAGGGAUGAGUUAGCUAGAAGAAGAAUGGGAGUGUUCUGGGUAAAGGGAUGGCAUGACAGAAGUCACAGAGAUUCUAGGGUGUCAGGAAUUUGAACAGGACUCAGAAGGGAAGGCUCAUCUCUCUCCACUAUGUCUGGGACCUCAGCUAGAAGACGUGAAGGCAGAGGAUGAGCGUCAUCGGCAGUUUGCACACUUGCCUGUCUGGCAGUUGAUGCUGCGAAGAUUCAAAUAACUGGGGUCCUGGGGCCUCUCUCUGUGCCCUUUCCCUGUGGUCUCUCCAGACUGGUGACUUCAGCGUAACUGGACUUCUCCCAUGUGGGUUGCCAAUAAUAUGUCCUGAGAGAGAGAGAGAGAGAAAGAGAGAAAGAGAGAGAGAAAGAGAGAGGGAGGCGAGCCAGCUGGAUACGGUAUCACUGUAUCACCUGUUCUAACCUGGCUUUGGAAGUCCCACAAUCUCACUUCCACCACAUUCUAUUAGUUAGAAGCCCGUCAUGAGGGCCGGCCCAUAUUCAAAUGGAGGGGAAUUAGACCCACCUUUUGUGGGAGGAGCUUCAAAGAAUUUUAAGACAUGUUUUAAAACUACCACAAUCCCCACUUAUGCUUUAGGGGCACCAAAUCACCCAUCGAUCCUUGAAUUUGUGGCCAUGCUCUUACUUAAACACUACCCUUUUGUUGCAGUGCCAUUGGUACCACAAGUUUACCUCCUAAAUUUCUACUCACCAUUUAUGAUUCAGCUUAGAUGCCAUCUGCAUUGUAAUCUUCUACAGCCUUACCUUUGGAAGUGAUCACACCUUCUCUGUUCUGCCCAGGGCCCUAUUUCAAUUUUCCUUAGGCGACCUGAAUACGUAUUUGUUAAAUGGAUAAACAAAAUAGCAUAAUAAAACGCCAAAUGAGAAAGUGAC